CAGAUCCUCAGGGUUGCAAACGUAUGGAAACCUUCUGGCUCACUUGAGACUGCCCUUACUAGGGAAGAAGCUCCUGAGAGUCAUCAGAAGUACAGCUGAAAAGCCAAUAUCAGCACCAAUGGGAUGCACCUCUAGGCUCUGCAGCUGACAAACUCUCAAGUGGAAUGGCCUUCUGAAUCUUCAAUACCGUGAUGCCAUGCCAGCCUACCUGUGCUCUGAAAUUUAUAUGACCCAGCCUCAGGAAACUCAAUUAUCUUGAUGGGAAGCCACAUCGACCCAGCUCCAUAUCAUUAUGAAAACUGAUUUUUGCAAGACAAAAAAAAAAUAUCCAAGAAUAAAGCACAUAUAGACAGAAAUCUGGAAUAAGUUCCUGAUUAAUUUAUAAUUAUUAAAAGUGAACAUCUCAGCUGAUAUGGAGAUAAUUGAGUUUUGGCUCCUGAUCUAUAGUGGGCGACUGUGAAGACGAGAACACACAUGUACUACAAGGAACUUCUGCAUGCACACGAAGUCCUCCGACUUCUAGAAUAUGAAAAUCCCCCACCUCCGUCAGCUUGCAAUAAGCUAGAAAUGAAGAGAACUGUAGCCUCCCAAGCACAACUGUAAAAUUCUAAUUAAAAAAUUGAUUGAUGAAGAAACAAAGAUAGUGUCAUUUAACACUGGCCAGCUGUUUGCCAAACCCAUUUACUUUUCCUCCUGGGCAUGUGGUUAAAGGACGUUUUCCAGUCUGCAAUAAACUGAUGUCUUGACAGUCUUUUAACCAGUGGAAUCUGAGUGGAAAUGACGUAUACUACCUCAAUGCCUGGCAAUAAACAUUUUUGGUGCCUCAAUCUCCAUGAUUUUUCCCUUGCAUAGCUUGAUGCAGAUGUACAUAGUCACUUGGAAGCCACAUGUUGAUGACAGAGCCAUAAGACCAAAGGAUCCUGGGUCCUUGAAUCACUACUUGCAGAAGAACUGGCGAGUGCUUAAGAACACCUCUUUUAGACUUUAUAUGGUAAAUUUCUAUCACUUUGGGGGUUAUAGAAGCUUAUGUCAUCUGAAAUAAAAAGAGGAGUAGUCAAGGGAGGUGUUAAGAAAUAGAAGGGUGGAAUAAAUGGUGUAAAGAUUAUAAUACAAGGUGAUAUAUAUUCAAUCUUAUUCUGCAUUAGUUGACAUAGUUGGAGUAGCUGCUGAUGCU